CCUGUGUUCCAGACAUCUGUGUCUCUUCCUGAUAUUCUGCCUGACAUCUUCUACCCGUGUUUUGACUUGCUACCUCUCUAUGACCUGCCUACUUUGACCCCCUGUGUUAGUUUGCUUGUUUGGAUUAUCUUCAGUUUAGUUGUAUUUAUAUAGUGCCAAUUUAUAAGUAAGUAGUAAUAAGUAAUUAAUCUCAUUACACUUCUCAUAUAGAGCAUGUCUAGACCAUACUCUGGUUGUAUUUACAGUGAUUCUCACCCUAAGCAAGCAGAUGAGGCUGACAAUACUAAUAAUAGGACUAAUAAUAAUAUUUGUAGCAGUGGGUGGCAAGCAGGAACAUGGGGGCAGUAGGUGGCUUGCAAUCAUAUAUCCAGACUCUACAGCUCCGGAGGCAGAAAUACCUGCUGAAAGUGAGAAGAGAGAGACAAGAAAGCACAAAACCAGGGGGAGGGAAGAUGUUGUCGUGCUGGGCAGCUGGACUAUGAGAUGGGGUCCCAAGGCUUGUGUUGGUCUUGUUCCAGAGUAACCACAGGAAUGAGCCAUUAGCAGGACCAGCAGCUAACACUGACAAGGACUGACUGGCCUUUACUGAGUCAACGCUGGAGGCACUUGUGGGCUCAUCAACCGGAACGCUGCACAGAACACUCGUCUGACUGGGGCGACUGUUGCGUUGAGCUCUCAGGGGCACUGUAAAAUAAACCCUUCACUAACAUCUUCCUGCCUGUUGGACUUUUUUAAUGGCCAUGUCCCUGUGGAGUUGAACCAGAGUGAUGAGGUGAAAUGUUGCAUUGGCAGGAGAAGUCUGAUUGGUUAAUGUGCCGCUGGCUUGAUCGCCUGUCACAAGGAGUGGGAGGGUGGAAAUGGGGGAGAGAGAGAUAUCAGAGGUUUGAUCUCCACCUUUAGUUCAGCCCUUGGCUAUCACAGUCACUCCUGGUUGUGAAGACACAAGAAAUGGCUGGUAUCCAGGACAUCCUGUUAGGACACAGGGUGGACUGCAGGGCCCUGUAAGAUCCCCGCCAUUUGACCUCUAGUCUGCUAUAAAGCUAAUGUCUUCACCAGCUGUGGUUAGCUGAAGUUUGCCAUUGUUUGGCUAGAUCCAUGCCACAGUUACUGUAUCUGGCUACACGUACUUGGGAAUUGACUGGAGGCUCUGCUUCCCUCCUCUGGGAGUGUCUC